UACAGAGGGUGCGAACGUUGCUCGGAAUUACUGGGCGUAAAGCGCAUGUAGGCGGAUCCAUAAGUCGGGCGUGAAAUCCCCAGGCUCAACCUGGGAACUGCGCUCGAAACUGUGGGUCUUGAGUGUCGGAGAGGAUGGCGGAAUUCCUGGUGUAGAGGUGAAAUUCGUAGAUAUCAGGAGGAACACCGGUGGCGAAGGCGGCCAUCUGGACGACAACUGACGCUGAGAUGCGAAAGCGUGGGGAGCGAACAGG
rnacentral:rRNA from 1 species